AUCGCGAUCGUAGAUCGAUCUUUGUAAGGCUUGAUUGACCUCAGAUCA
rnacentral:rRNA from 1 species